UAAGACAGAGGGUGCAAACGUUGUUCGGAAUUACUGGGCGUAAAGCGCGUGUAGGCGGCUUGGCAAGUCGGGUGUGAAAGCCCUGGGCUCAACCUAGGAAGUGCACUCGAAACUGCUUCGCUGGAGUGUCGGAGAGGAAAGCGGAAUUCUCGGUGUAGAGGUGAAAUUCGUAGAUAUCGAGAGGAACAUCGGUGGCGAAGGCGGCUUUCUGGACGAUUACUGACGCUGAGACGCGAAAGCGUGGGGAGCAUACAGGA
rnacentral:rRNA from 1 species